AGCAGCCGCGGUAAUUCCAGCUCCAAUAGCGUAUAUUAAAGUUGUUGCAGUUAAAAAGCUCGUAGUUGAAUUUCGAGAUCAAAUUGUUGGUCGUGCCUCGGUACGUACUGGCAUUAUUGAUUUCUCCUUUCUGAAGAACCUUGAUGUCAUUAAUUUGGUGUCUUGGGGAAUCAGGACCGUUACUUUGAAAAAAUUAGAGUGUUUAAAGCAGGCUCACGCUUGAAUACGUUAGCAUGGAAUAAUGAAAUAGGACGUUUGAUUCUACUUUGUUGGUUUCUAGGAUUGACGUAAUGAUUAAUAGGGAUAGUUGGGGGCAUUAGUAUUCAAUUGUCAGAGGUGAAAUUCUUGGAUUUAUUGAAGACUAACUACUGCGAGAGCAUUUGCCAAGGAUGUUUUCAUUAAUCAAGAACGAAAGUUAGGGGAUCGAAGACGAUCAGAUACCGUCGUAGUCUUAACCAUAAACUAUGCCGACUAGGGAUCGGAUGAUGUUAAUUUUUAAUGACUCAUUCGGCGCCUUAAC
rnacentral:rRNA from 1 species